GACGAACCAAGCAAACGUUGUUCGGAAUCACUGGGCUUAAAGGGCGCGUAGGCGGUCUCGCAAGUCCGGGGUGAAAUCUUUCGGCUCAACCGGAAAAUUGCCUUGGAUACUGCGAGGCUCGAGGGAGGUAGGGGUCACGGGAACAUCCAGUGGAGCGGUGAAAUGCGUUGAUAUUGGAUGGAACGCCGGUGGCGAAAGCGCGUGACUGGACCUUUUCUGACGCUGAGUGCGCGAAAGCCAGGGUAGCGAACGGG
rnacentral:rRNA from 1 species